rnacentral:rRNA from 1 species
GUGGGGAAUUUUGGACAAUGGGCGAAAGCCUGAUCCAGCCAUGCCGCGUGCAGGAUGAAGGCCUUCGGGUUGUAAACUGCUUUUGUACGGAACGAAAAGACUCCUUCUAAUAAAGGGGGUCCAUGACGGUACCGUAAGAAUAAGCACCGGCUAACUACGUGCCAGCAGCCGCGGUAAUACGUAGGGUGCAAGCGUUAAUCGGAAUUACUGGGCGUAAAGCGUGCGCAGGCGGUUAUAUAAGACAGAUGUGAAAUCCCCGGGCUCAACCUGGGAACUGCAUUUGUGACUGUAUAGCUAGAGUACGGUAGAGGGGGAUGGAAUUCCGCGUGUAGCAGUGAAAUGCGUAGAUAUGCGGAGGAACACCGAUGGCGAAGGCAAUCCCCUGGACCUGUACUGACGCUCAUGCACGAAAGCGUGGGGAGCAAACAGGAUUAGAAACCCUAGUAGUCC